UACGUAGGGUCCGAGCGUUGUCCGGAAUUAUUGGGCGUAAAGAGCUCGUAGGCGGUCUGUCGCGUCUGCUGUGAAAACUCAGGGCUUAACCCUGAGCUUGCAGUGGGUACGGGCAGACUAGAGUGCGGUAGGGGAGACUGGAAUUCCUGGUGUAGCGGUGAAAUGCGCAGAUAUCAGGAGGAACACCGGUGGCGAAGGCGGGUCUCUGGGCCGUAACUGACGCUGGAGGAGCG
rnacentral:rRNA from 1 species